rnacentral:rRNA from 1 species
AGAGUUUGAUCAUGGCUCAGGAUGAACGCUAGCUACAGGCUUAACACAUGCAAGUCGAGGGGAAACGACAUCGAAAGCUUGCUUUUGAUGGGCGUCGACCGGCGCACGGGUGAGUAACGCGUAUCCAACCUGCCCACCACUUGGGGAUAACCUUGCGAAAGUAAGACUAGUACCCAAUGAUAUCUCUAGAAGACAUCUGAAAGAGAUUAAAGAUUUAUCGGUGAUGGAUGGGGAUGCGUCUGAUUAGCUUGUUGGCGGGGUAACGGCCACCAAGGCGACGAUCAGUAGGGGUUCUGAGAGGAAGGUCCCCCACAAUUGGAACUGAGACACGGUCCAAACUCCUACGGGAGGCA